AUGACUUUGAUCUGCGUCCUCAUCUGGACUCUCCUCUGCUGCUGCUUCACAGAGUCCAGAGGACAGAUCACAGUGACUCAGCCUGGAGCAGUGAGCUCUGCUGUGGGAGCAACUGUGAGCAUCAACUGCAAAACGAGUCAAAGGGUAGAUGAUGGAGAAGAUCAAUUCUGGUACCAACACAGAGAUGGAGAACAUCCUAAACUGCUCACUAGCUAUGGAAAUCGCAAAGUCUCAGGGAUUCCAGCUCGUUUCACAAGCAGUGGAUCAAACACUGACUUCACUCUGACCAUCAGUGGAGUCCAGGCUGAAGAUGCAGCAGUUUAUUACUGUCUGGGUGAAUUCAAUGUUAACAGUCAGCUUGUGUUCACACAGUGA